rnacentral:rRNA from 1 species
GUAGGUGGCAAGCGUUGUCCGGAAUUAUUGGGCGUAAGCGCGCGCAGGCGGUUCGUUUAAGUCUGAUGUGAAAGCCCACGGGCUCAACCGUGGAGGGUCAUUGGAAACUGGAGAACUUGAGUACAGAAGAGGAAAGCGGAAUUCCACGUGUAGCGGUGAAAUGCGUAGAGAUGUGGAGGAACACCAGUGGCGAAGGCGGCUUUCUGGUCUGUAACUGACGCUGAGGCGCGAAAGCGUGGGGAGCAAACAGGAUUAGAUACCCUGGUAGUCCACGCCGUAAACGAUGAGUGCUAAGUGUUAGGGGGGUUUCCGCCCCUUAGUGCUGCAGCUAACGCAUUAAGCACUCCGCCUGGGGAGUACGGCCGCAAGGCUG